rnacentral:rRNA from 1 species
GAUGAACGCUGGCGGCGUGCCUAACACAUGCAAGUCGAGCGAACGGACGAGACUUUUACUUCUCUGAUGUUAGCGACGGGCGGGUGAGUAACACGUGGAUAACCUAUCUCUAUGACUUGGAUAACUUCGGGAAACCGUAGCUAUUACCGGAUAAUAUCUUGAGCCGCUUGGUUCAAAAGUGUAAGACGGUCUUGCUGUCACUUCUCGAUGUAUCCGCGCUUCAUUAGCUAGUUGGUAAGGUAACGGCUUACCAAGGCAACGAUGCAUAGCCGACCUGAGAGGGUGAUCGGCCACACUGGAACUGAGACACGGUCCAGACUCCGACGGGAGGCAGCAGUAGGGAAUCUUCCGCAAUGGGCGAAAGCCUGACGGAGCAACGCCGCGUGAGUGAUGAAGGUCUUCGGAUCGUAAAACUCUGUUAGUAGGGAAGAACAUAUGUGUAAGUAACUGUGCACAUCUUGACGGUACCGAAUCAGAAAGCCACGGCUAACUACGUG